rnacentral:tRNA from 1 species
GUGGGGCUCAGUGGUUAAGAGCACUGGCUGCUCUUCCAAAGGACCUGGGUUCAAUUCCCAGUGCCCACA